rfam:Camelus ferus unplaced genomic scaffold scaffold334, whole genome shotgun sequence.
GUGGGUAUAGCUCAGUGGCAGAGCUCAAGCCUAGCAUGCAGGAGGUCCUGGGCUCAAUCCCCAGUACCUCCA